CUCAUUCUGAGAACUGCAACUGAAAGCAGACCCAGCGGAAGAAGGAAGCGAGAUUUAUUUGCUGUAGAAAUGGGAGAGAGACAGUUGAUCUGCAAUCCUGAGAUUUCCUCAAGGCACCUUUCUGUACUGGAUCUUACAUAUUGUCUUCUCACAUCAUCUUAUGAAGAACACAAUGGGAGAAGCCCACUCUAGCUUUCCUAAACACUCAUCUGGGAUUCUGAAGACAGGAGGUCACAUACCCUGCUGGUCCAUCAGUCUUGGCUGCUACUGGUGGAUGGGCCUAGGAAGGUAGAACAGAGUUGUCUAUGGCCGUGAGGGGGCUAAUAUGUGCUCCUUCCCCCUUGAAUUUGAACUUGGAAUCAUCAGUCACUCACUGCAAUGUCUUCAAUGACUUUUGUUGAUAAAAUCUCUUGUAUUUGGGCCGAACUGGAUUCCACGGUUAGUGCAGAGACUAUUGUGGAUCUGUCUGUUCUGGAUGGGGUUACACUCCUCCUGAAAGAUCAGGAAUCUCUGAUGACUGCUAGAGUUUGAGACUUAUGCGAGGGCCAGCCAGCUUGUAUUGUGUGUUUCAAAGUGGUCACAGCCUCAUCUUGCUUACAUUGGUGCUUGAUCUUGGCAAGCUUGUUCAGAGAUACAGGAUAGCAUCGUUAUCAAGAAAAUGAAAAUGAUGGGUGGUAAUAAUCCUGCUGAAAAUGAAGUGCAGGUGCCUUUAAAUAAGAAUGGAAACCCACAAAAUGGAUCAGGCAAUCACUCCUUGGAGCAAAAGAGUCAACUUUGUGAUUCAACUAGUAUUACAGCAGAUAAUCAAAAUCUGAAAAAUCAAAAUCUGAAAAACAAGCAGUCCCAUCAAAGAGGCUUCAAUUGCUCCAAGAGAUUCAGACAAUGUUGUGUUGAUGGCAAUAUUGCAAAGCCCGUUUUCAUAGUCACUGCAAUAUUUGCUCUAUGUUCAGUGUGUUUCAACAUUAUUCUAAUUUGUGAGAAUGCAAAGCUAAAACAGUUGCAAGGUUGCACACAGCCACCAGUUGACACUUCAUGCCUCCAAGGCUGGGUUAGGAAUGAAGGGAUGUGCUUCUUUUUCUCCCAAACCGAAGGGACCUGGAACUCCAGCCAAAGCAAUUGUUCUUCAUCUGGUGGCUCCUUAGUGGCACUUGACACUCAACAGGAAAAGGAGUUUGUAGAGCACAAGAGAGACCUUGCUGAAUAUUGGAUUAACCUCAGGAGGGAAAAUGUAGAACAGUCCUGGAAAUGGCCAAAUGGUUCAUUUAUUCACAACUGGUUUACAAUUAAAGGUGAAGGAUUCUGCGCUUAUCUCAAUGAUGAUGUAAUCAGCUCAACAUACUGUGACCAGAAGCGCUACUGGAUAUGCAAGAAGCCUGCCUUGCCUACUUGAGAGAGAAGGUUUACUUUAAGUGGAGAUGUGAAGUCUCUGGAAGAAUGUCAUUUUGCGGUUCCCUUUUUCAUUCUUGAGUAAUGAAUUUCCAUGCAAAAAUAUGGUGGUUCAAUUUCAUUGGGUUCCAGUCUCAUAUCAGCCCAAUGAAUAGUAUCAGUUGUGGUUUAAGUGAAAGCACUGACUACAUAUGCCUCCCUAGUGAGAAUGAAAAUGUUUUGGCAUGAAUAAGAAUAUUGUGAGACUACAGAUGAAGAUACUGUCGGAAUUAUUAUAUAUUUUAAGAUGUAUAUCUUACACAGUAUACUCUUUUAAUAUAUUAAAGAUACUGAGGUUGUUCUCACAACCAGCACUACCCAGUUAGGGGAGCUGUAGCUCUGAUAGGGCUGGUCAUGAGAACCACUGCCAAUCCCGGCAUGCCACCAGGUAGCCUGGAUUUUGUACCAGGGCUAAAAGUGAGGUAUGAGGAUGCUAGGGAUGUGCAUGAACCAGUUUGCAGGCCAUGUUAGAGGCCUAUGAACCAGUUCGCUGGUCCGGCAGUCCAACGGACUGAUGCCAGGCGAGGUUGUACUUACCCUCCCGCCGCUUCCCCCCCUCCCGUGCUCCAUUUUCAAGCAAAAUCUUUGGAGUGGCAGCGGUCUUCCCUGCCGCCCCUGCCCCCUUGUUGCCUGCUAAAAGCGGAAGUAAGUUCCGCACAUGCACCUGCCGCCACGUGCGCGUCACGCAUGUCACUGUGAUGUGUGCGGCGUGUGUGCACGGCAGCGGCAGGCACAUGCACAGGAGUUACCUGCUAAAAGCAGAAGUAAGUUCCGCGCAUGCGCCCACCACCGCGCCCGUCACAGAUGUGACUGUGACGUGCACAGCGCACACAGCGGCGGAAGGCGUAUGUGCAGGUGUUACUUCUGCUUUUAGCAGGCAAUAAGGGGAUGGGCGGCAGGGAGGACUACUGCUGUCCCAAAGAUUUUGCUUGAAAAUGGAGCGCAGGAGGGGGGAAAGCAGUGGUUGGGGUAAUACAACCCCCCCUCAAAGCAACACACACACCCCGGCAUCGGACCGCACCUCCGCGGUCCGUGCACAUCCCUAGAGGACGCACAUGAACCGCCUACCUCAUUGCCCAGUUGUGUGGAAGCUCAGGCUGUCAGCAACCCGAGCUGCCAUGGAGCCAGAGGGGAGGAGUGGGCCCACAGUGGAGAAUCCCCCAAUGCACCCCACACCUCAUGCAGUACAUUGUGGGAUAUCGGAGGAUGCAGUCUGCUCCACCCCCAGCCCCCUUGCCUCUCCUUGUGGUGAUUGGCUAGUAAACACUGUCAAUCAGGAGGAGUUUGAAUUUAGAAAGCUCCUCUGGAAAGAAUUCCUAAGGAAGGGGAUUUGGAAUGGAGUGAACAGGUGCCUAUAAAAUUCAGUUGGAGUUAACUGACAGGCAGAUAGGGAAGGUUAGGGCUAGAGAUAGGGCCCCUCCCCCUCCCCAGGGCCCCUUCCCUGCUGGCAUUCUACCACUUUUAUUAGCUAUGGUUUUAUUAGCUAUUUAGAGUAUAUAGGUCUUGAAGCAAUGUACUGGGCGUAAUUGUCAGCUAAUUAAAGAUUUUUAGCUUUGUCCUGCAAGAAAAUUACAACAGCCGGGUAGUACUCACCUUCUUCUUGCACUGGGUCUCCUCUGUGAUGAAGUGGGGACCACUUGUGUGCUUCCCUACAGAGUUCCCCGCCAAUGUACCUCUAAACAUCUGUAAAACUCCUUCAAUAUCUGUUUGCAAACUCCAGUUAGCAAAGUUCCCCUGGUCUGAGUCUUGCAUUGAAGACCAGUAGGCAAACUGACUCUCCUCAGGAAUGUGACCCCUCCCACAAGCUUAGGCACUCACCUGGAAUAAAUCCCCCACACAGGCUACUCCUCUGUCAAAGACACAAAUGCUUCCAUCCAGCCAGAAAUCAAACCCUAGAAAAUCACCAGCCCUAACAAACAUAGCUUUUCCUUCUGUUACCUGUGAAUCCAAGCAUUUCAUAUUGAUUUAUAUGUAUUGAUCCUAGGGCAUGUAGUUAAUGGAGAACUGAGCUCUUGCUACACCAUUUUGAUGGUAGCUGAAGAGAGCAAGAGUCCUCUCCAACUUCUAUUUCUGAAUGUGGGAAAGAAUCUGCUUAGUAUGCUUUGGUUCUCAUACUAAGCAGACCUUGUAACUUGCAACAUAAUAUGUAUUCUCUAUGCCUUGCUUUGUUCUGGCCUGCUGGUCAGGAGAGGUGAUGAUGCUGGUAUCCGAACUGCCUCCUAGAGGCUGCGUAAGCACUCCUUUAACAAUGGUAGUAUUGUAAGCCUGUUGGCCUAAUAUGGAGUUGUAUUGCCAGACUACCUGGCUGGCUUGUUGUGAAUGAUGAUGUAUUCAGAUGUAUCAGUUGUUGUAUAAAAGCUUUGGAUGGACACCAUCUUGGGUCUGUCUUGUCUUUGGGAGCUAUCCCCUAGACGGCCACUUUGUUCACUCUGCAGAAUUCAAUAAAGCUUAUUUGAACUAUAAA